rnacentral:rRNA from 1 species
CGUGGGUAACCUGCCCAAGAGAUCGGGAUAACACCUGGAAACAGAUGCUAAUACCGGAUAACAACAGAUGAUGCCUAUCAACUGUUUAAAAGAUGGUUCUGCUAUCACUCUUGGAUGGACCUGCGGUGCAUUAGCUAGUUGGUAGGGUAACGGCCUACCAAGGCGAUGAUGCAUAGCCGAGUUGAGAGACUGAUCGGCCACAUUGGGGCUGAGACACGGCCCAAACUCUACGGGAGGCAGCAGCC